CUAACACAUGCAAGUCGAGCGCGCCCUUCGGGGUGAGCGGCGGACGGGUGAGUAACGCGUGGGAAUAUGCCCUUCUCUACGGAAUAGUCCUGGGAAACUGGGGGUAAUACCGUAUACGCCCUACGGGGGAAAGAUUUAUCGGAGAAGGAUUAGCCCGCGUUGGAUUAGCUAGUUGGUGAGGUAACGGCUCACCAAGGCGACGAUCCAUAGCUGGUUUGAGAGGAUGAUCAGCCACACUGGGACUGAGACACGGCCCAGACUCCUACGGGAGGCAGCAGUGGGGAAUCUUAGACAAUGGGGGAAACCCUGAUCUAGCCAUGCCGCGUGAGUGAUGAAGGCCUUAGGGUUGUAAAGCUCUUUCAGCUGGGAAGAUAAUGACGGUACCAGCAGAAGAAGCCCCGGCUAACUCCGUGCCAGCAGCCGCGGUAAU
rnacentral:rRNA from 1 species